CCUCUGUGAUGUCACCAGUGUUGUAGUGACAACCAGUGCCCUAGUUUCUCUCAGUCUGAGUCUGGAGGUUACAAGCUAAGACAUGUUUUCCCGUCUUCGCAAGCGUUUUGGGAGGGGGAAUGUCGAUUCUGGAGAGACUAGAGUGAAGGAGUCUGGCCUUUGUCUCAAAGUAAUGAUGGACAAAGACAGCACUUCUGGGGAUUGUUUAGUAAGUUCUGGGCAGUAUAUUUUGAGCUUCCUGUCAGGGUGGCUGCAGGCUUAAGGUGACCUUUCUAGCCAUGGGCCACAACAACUGGAGCAUCUGAAAAGGAAUUGAAUUUCCAUGAAUAUUACAAUUUCUUAAAAUCAAGGAUUUCAGAAUUUUAGUUUCCCAUCCCCACUGGGAGGAUAUGACGCUGGGAGAGAAACAUCAUCCCCUGGAACUGAGCUAAGCAAGAAGCAGGCCAAGAAGUAAAAUAAGAGGUGGAUUUAAGAGCUGCAGCUCAUUACAGAGGAGCGAAACGACCUGAGAGAUCGCCUGAUGUUUGUGACAGAGAGAUCCAUGAAGAACAGGUCCAGUCUUCUGUAUUGAACAAUGGGAGCCAGGAAACCCUCCAUCUGGAUGCUGAGCUUCCGGUGUCCUGGCCCCAGAAUAACGUUUCUGAAGCUGAAGAAGAUCCCAAUAUAUAGAAUUCAGAAGGUGUCCUUCCAGGGCUGGGGUAGUACAGGACCCACCCUGAGUUCAUAUAUUCCUAAAUGCUGAUGUUCAUUGGAUUCUAUCAUUUGGGGCCAGGCCACACUUCAGGCCAAAUCCAUAUUAUGAAGACCUGGAGAGAAUGGAGGAGGCGGUCAUGUCAAUUCUGCACAACUUAGAGAUGGAGAACACUGAGAUCCAUGAGAACAGCCAUAAGCUGAAGAAGGAGAUUACCUUCUCUACGUAAGUCCUGGUCAGAAAGGCUAUCACCUGUGGAAUGGCCAUUUCUGAUUUCUUUGUUCUGGAUUGGACGGUCUUCAGCUAUGAGUCUAUCUCUUGUGCUGUUUACACAUCAGUGUGCCAGGGUCAUUAGGACUCAGCUUUCAGUUCCACAAAAGAGUGUGCCUCAUCCCAGGAUUGUCUAGGCAUCUUCAUAAGGCUCUAGAUAGAACAGCACUGAUUGAAGUCAGCAGAAGGUUAUUAGGCUGAACGGGGCCUCUGGUGUCAUACCAGGUUUUACAAAACUCAGUGUGUGGACCACAUGGUUAGAAUGACCUUCUCUUGGUUCUACUGACCUCCUUUGAGGGUGUUUGCCCACUCCUAAUUGAUGUUGCCCCCGUGCAUUGGGCUUUCAUGGAUAGUUGUAGAUCCAUGUUCUUUUUGAGAGAUUUGGACCCUAUUGAUGCUUGGGCCAUCAAAAAAAUUUCUUCUUCCCUGAAUUGGCUGUUUACUGUUUCUGCAGCAGCCUUAUAUGUAUCAAGAUGUAUUCUACGUCUUCAUGGGUAUAUGGGUUCUAGGGUUGUUAGUGGAACUUGGAAGUAGGAAUGGGAGAAAGGGGCAGCAAGAUCUUACUAUGCAGAAUGUAUUUCCAGUAACCUGCUCAGCCGCUCCUGAUGGAGAACACAUGUAUGAAGAACUUCGUCACAUCUAUGCAGGAGAGCAAGGUGGUACAGAUUGAUUGUGCACUGAUACAGAAAUAUUUGAUUGAAUUGAACAAGAAUGAUAAAUAUGAAUAGGAGAUGACCAGAAACCGCCAGACCCCAGCAAUAUCUGGUAGGAAUAAGCAGCUGUGUGAGCUUAACAAUAUCUGAUACCAUUUUCCAAUUUCAUACAUCUUUGCUUUCCCCUACAAUCUUUCUAAUUUACACUCCCAACGAGCCAACCAUGGCCUGUAAUGGAAUUGUUCAUUGCUCUGUCUAUGUACAAGUAUUCUGGGAAGUUAACCACUUUUCAGAAACUGAACUAUUGGCAAGUAUAUUUUGCUUCUCUUUUUGAAGCUGCAGUCCACAAAUGGUGACAGAUGAAUAACAUAUCAUAUUAUGGCAUGACUGUGUGAUAUGCUAUGUAGAGUUUUGAACAAGGUCUUGGUCCUGUGACAAAUGACAUUUUGUGGUCAUGUGACCUCCUAGGUAGGAAGCACCUUUGUGGGAUAAGAACCAAUUGCAAAUGUUGAAUUCAUCCUUGUCAUUGACUUUUAUCUUGGUGACAUAUGGACAUCUCCUUUCUUCCUGGAACCCAAUGAGGUCUCUUCCCAUUGCCCUGUUCUUGGUUUGCACUGGUAUAAGUCUGGGUCCCAGAUUGGCAGCCCACAUCACUGUGAGGCUUGCUGGAGAUUUUCCCUGCCCGCAGAGUUAACAACAAUGAUAUUAGCUAAAAGGUCCAGGUCGACUGUCCAAUAGAACUGAGGUGGUAGAAGGCAGCAUUCUGACAGCUGGCUAGCAUUUCCCCACCAAAUCAGUGUCUGAAAAACUGCCUUCCUCUCCCAGGUCUCAGAAAGUGCAAGACUGCUGGAAUUGGACACGGACCAGGAAGAGGACUCCUGAAGAAUAAGUUGCUUUCUCAGGAGUCCCCUGCUGACAAACAUCCUGACUAUUAACAACAUGUUUUGGAUGAAUAUUCUUCCUCAUAGUUAAUUUGUCAUUGCUUAGAGACCCUAAAUUUAUAUAUCACUAAGCCAGCCUGACUGAUUGAGGUCUUACUCACUUUCCUCUUUAGAAAUCACCACUUGAGAGACAACUUGGGGGACGGCCUUUCAUUAUGUAUGCUAGAGGAGAAAGAGCAAUACAUCUGUGCUUCUAAAUGUUUGUUAAGAAUAUGAUGUUUAGAAAUAUUUUGUUAUGAUUUUCAUUGAAGUUUUCUAUUUGUUGUUUCAUAGUUAUAUGCUCUUGUUAUUAUUUUUCAUUUUUAAAAUACUUUUAAAUAUUUAUAUUAAUUCAUUUUAAUCCUGUU